CGCACUCGCGCCUCCCCCGCACCCGGCUCCUCCCGCCUCGCCGCCUCCUUGCUUGAAGAUCCAGAGCGAGCCGCUGCCGCUGCAUCUUCUCCUCCUCCUCAAGCGCACCAUCCCAAUCUCCCGUGCUCCGCCUCCACCCCGCUCCCCUCCCUGGCGGCGCUCCCGACCGCCGCCAUCGCGACGUCUUCUUCUCCCCCACCGUCGAACUCAGGCCGCCGCUCCGCCCCCCGUCCCCGUCGCACCUCCCCUCGAGCCACCGGCUGGUGCUCUCUCUUCAAGGGAUGAGCAACUCUCCCUCACGGAGGGGGUGGGGUGAUGCUCAAGGACGGGGCAGCCGCGGGCUCCGGCACAGGCGCGUGGGUACCGCCGCCGUGGCUCACCCCACCCACGUGGUCCUGGUUCCUCUCAGAUGCGGCCUAGGAGGACGCUCUCUCGCGUAGUGUGGCUGCUGCCCAUGUUGCCUCUGCCGUGAGCACCGUGGAGGAGGAGCAGUCGCUAGGAAAGAGAAAGAGGAGGCUGGUGAGAGCUCGUGCCGGUCGGCGACGGCGUGGCCGGUGCUAGAUUUGGAUGGGACGACUGCUACCCGCUCCACCGGUCUAGAAUGACAUGCUGCAAAUAGUUUAGGUUUGAACAAGGAAUGCAAAAUUCAAGGAUUGAGCCAGUGCUGGUCUAUAUUUCAUAUUGGUUUUUGCACCCUGCAGCCAGUGGUAAGACACACAAUAACUGGAUUAAGUUAUCCUGCUGUGUGAAGGGGGGGGCUCCUCUUUUUGCCAGACUAACAUAUUAUUGGGAUAUUUGACUUCUUGUUGAGACAGUUAACAAAAGGGAUUGCACUCUUUGUGAUGAGGGUCUCCCUUUUUAGUUCAGCUCUGUUAUUCACAAACUAGGCAUCAAAAAUAUUAUUGCAACAUCUAAAGAAUGUUGCCAUACCUGUGCUCACCUAUAUAAUUCCUUGGUCACUAAAUAAUUGUAAAUGCCCUUUUAAUUAGUACUGAUAUUUCUAGGAUACAUUGUUCACCUCAGAAGGCCCUGUUUCACUUUCUCCUUUUUCUUCUUUUGUCCUUCAUUAUCUUUUAGCUAAUAAUGUGAUCCUUGUAUUUGCGUAUUUUAGAGUAUAUAUCAUGUGAAGAUACUGAAGCUUAACUUCAUGAGAGAAAGGAAAACGCUUGGGAAUUUAAAGGUUUAGAUGAGCGUUCCGUGGUUAUUCUGCCAUUGCCGAUGUAAGCUUCGCCGGCUCUUUACAUUUUUAUGAGCACGAUGUAUGUGCUUUCUGUGAGAGUAAGGUAGUAAUACAACACAAGAUGAUGUUGCCUGCCGCUGUGUAUCCGUUGUUUGGGAGUGAGGUGGUAUAAACUCCAUAUUUCCGACAUCAGAAGGAAAUCACAAAAAGAGUAUAGAUGCACUUGCUCGACUAACAAAGCUUGUACCUAAGAGCAGGUCUGGUUCAUGCUUUAGGGAGGUUAAAUAAAUUUCAGUCAGACGCAAAGUAAUUUCUAGCAUAGCUGCAUUUGACCAUCAGUAGAUCAUUAUAUAUAACAGGACUAUAGAACAAAGUACAGAAAAUCAUAACUUUUAGAACUGAUUGUAUUUCAGAUUCAGUGGCUUCGCUACCGUUUUAGCUUAAUGACGUCUUCCAGUUCCCAGCUAUGCAAGUCUAAUAUAUUUGCAUAUGUUAGGUAUAACACAUGCAUGACCCUAUUUUGAUACGCUAUCCCACUUAUAGAUGUUAGUAAUUUUUUUGGAAGUUAGGUCAUUAGAUUUACCAAUCUGUCUUGAUUCUGUAAGAUUCAUGGAUCGAUUUGAGCGGGCGAGCCACUUGCACUUCUUGAAGCUACCAACAAACCAGCAAAGGUGCACAUCCCUGCAAACCAGAUUGAGCAUAAGACACUGGCUGAACCCUGUGCAUUGAGAGCGUACCCGUUUUGGUUAGUUCAUAUCUCCUAUGCUUUGCUGGUUCAGGUAUCUUUAACCAUCACAAUUUACUUCCCUUCUUUCUUUGGCUAACAAUCUGAUAUAAUGAUUGGUCUCACUCUGUUGCCACCUAAUUAGGUUCAAAUCUGUGUGUCCCUUGCAUUGGCAUCUACCAUACAUAUUGAAAGUAGUUUUAUUUAUCUUUGCACCUUGAUAUAUUUUCUAAAACCACUUCUUAUGCUUCCAUUUGUAUAUAUGACAUUUUCUGUGUUUUUCUCAUGUUGGUGUGCAGGCAAAAUUCCAUUAGGCUUUGCUCUACUCUUAGUUACCAUGAGAGUAGGAUGGACAAGGGUGUCAUGUGUAUAUAUGUGAUAGCCGUGGUGUCCCUGACAUUUACGAGGAAGAUGGAGCUAGCACGAUUGCUGCAUCAGAACCUUCAGUUGUCCUGUUUUGCUCUUCCUAGGAUGGCCUGGAUGGCCUGAGAUGAGCAGCCUUUGAUACGCCGUGUUAGGCGCCCAGGUGCUGCCUUUCUGAUAAAUCCAGCUGCCACCGACCAGCACGAGCUCGCUUCAGCCUCCUCCUCUAGCCCUUAACGGCCUCCUCCUCCGAUCUUGCAGCUACUGCCGCAUCGCCAAUGUUUUGAUAGUGUGAUCGAAGCAUAUGGUUUUAUACAGACUUUUGGAGAAGCUUGUAUUUACAAGAAAGUGAGUGGGAGCUCUGUAGCA